AUUAAUGAGUCGUUUCAUAUAGGGAUCGUUUCGAAGCCAGUUAUUCUUCUCUUCAAUUUAGAUUAUGCCACCUGAACCGACUGUCAUGAAUUCCAAGGAUAAUGAAGAUAAUUUAAUAAAGUCACAAGGCUAUAGAAACGAUAGGCUAGUUAAGGAAUUUUUUUCUAAAGAGCCAACAAUUUAUUCUCAUGAAAUUUACAAGAAAUCAUCGAGAGUAUUUGAAAAGCUAAGAGAAGAGAAUUCGGCAAAUUCAACGGAGGAGAUAAAUUUUGAGAAUGAAAAUGAAAUGAGACUAACAUUCCAAUUGGCCUACGAUACUUUAAUAUGUAAGUAAACUGAUUGUUCGUUUUUUGCCUGUUUGCAUACUUUUCCGUAUGCUUGUUUCAUUCCUGCUAAUUAUCUCUCUCUUCACAAUAUUUAAAUAUGGUUAUUUUUGAAGAGAGGAAAAAAAAUCGAAUUUGCCACUGCAUAAUAAUCUUAUUCAGAUGAUUGUAAUCCGAGUAUUAAUUAGUAAGGAAUUAACUUUUUAUUAGUAUAAACCUUCCGCUCUGAUAAGUUUAUGAACGGUUUGAAACAGAACAAUAGAAUAUUUCAUAGAGGAUCUACUCAUGAAUUGUACACAGAUCCACUUAUAUUCUCUUUCAUUUUUAUUCUUGUUUUUUACAUUCCAUAUACUAUGUAAAGUACUCUUCUUUGCGAAAUUUUUAACAACUUUUCUCCGUCUUCGUCUCUGUCUCUUUCCCAUAAUCAUUUCUUCCUCUGUCUAUUAUACAUUUCAUUCCGUAAAGAGAGGAGGUAAAAAGAGAGAUUAUAAAAAUUAAUCUCUUCAAUAAUCAAUAAUCAUACAUUGUUAAAAGGCUACAUAGCUUAUGGCUUUUGAACACUAAUUUUAUGGUAUAUUACUUACGGUACUUCCGCUCGAGUGAUUGUCAUCUUUUAUUGCUGUUAUUUAACUUUUUAGCCAACUUUCUUAAAGAAUGCUUUUAGGGUAAAUCAUUAAACUUUCUAAUAUCUUUCUACCUUAUUUAUCCAAUAUAUCGUUAUUUUCUAUCUCAUUUUUGAUGGGAUAUUUAUUCUCUUUUCUCUUUCAUACAAAAAAGCAAAUGAACGAUAAACUUUAACAAAUAUGACUUAGGUGCUAGUUACAUAGUCACAUAAAAAAAACUAGCCUCUGUCCUACUAGCCGAACAUGAAAACAGUUAGAAAAAAAAAACAACACAAUCCCAAUUUUUUUCUGUAGGCCUAUUGAUUAGUGAUAAAGAAAUAUUUAUAAAUGUUCUCUUUUUUUUAUUUUGCUUUUAUGUAUAUACACGUAAAAAUUGUUACGUUUGGAGAGCGAGAGAGAGAGAGAGAGAGGGAGAAAGAAAGAAAGACUGUUAUACAAGCGGAUUUUUUAUUCUAUAUAUUUUCAACACCCCUACUGUUGACCCAAUGAUCUAUUAAAGUUUUCAUUCUCUCAGGCUUAUUCCAUUCCCCUCCUCUCUUUUCUUCUUUUUUUGUGUCUGAAAUUCAUAUACAGUUCAUAAGUCUUUCUAUUAUUAAUAAGGAUUAGGGAUCUUCUAUUAAAUUCCCAAUACAAAAUUAAUAAGCAAAUAGCCUAUAGGUAGACGUUUAAAAAAAUAAUAAAGAUUGCGUAAUAAAUAAGAAGUAACGAAGACUGAGAUUAAAUAUGGAUAUAGCAUAUUUAGGCUAUUCAUAUUCUCUAGCACUGUUUAUUUGUUAUUACACUACACACAGAUAAACAAAUAUUACAAGAAUUAGCCGAAGAAGUGGCUUUCUUUUCUCAGUUUCCGGAAGUGAGUUGAAUAACAUUUUAGGUUGCCGUACUGAUUAAAUUGAUUGUAAGAAUUUGUUUACGAUUUAUUGGCAGUUCCGGGACCAAGAGUCAAUAUGCUAUGUUAUGAUUUACGACUUCCAGAAAAGACGCUUCCAAACCAGAACGCCUAUAGAAGAUGAAAUUUUAGACGAUGAUCUAUUGGAUAUUGAAUCGGCAAUUAUAAAAUGUCGAACAAAAUUAGGCGCCGCUUUGGCUAGAUCGAGAAUAAAAGCGCAAGUUCAACAUUUACAAAUGCUACUUCCGGCAAACUGUAGAGAUACGGGCGAUAAACAACGAUACUUUUACACUUGGAUUAAUGAAUUUAAAACAACUAAGGAAGAGGCUUUAAGGAAUUUACAUUUGUACGGUUUCGAUCCAAUUGAGAAUUUAAACAACAUAAAGGAGUGCGAAUACUUUCUAGAUCGUCAUUGCGAUGACGUCAUCGCCUUUUGUAUGGAAGAUCGGGAAAAGUUGAAAGAAACCGCUUUGUUCAAAGAAAAUCGUUUAGUUAUGCAGGAUAAGUCAUCUUGUUUGGCCGUAAAUAGCGUAAAGUCCUUGGUAAACGACGACGAAGACAUUCUAAUUUAUGGAUCAAAUUCUGGAUUAGACGCCGCACACUUAGCGUCACUUUUAUGUAAAUUAAAUAAUACAAUCUAUGUUUUUAUAAAAGAAGAAAAACUUGAUAAAGUAAAAAGAAACUUUGAAAGAAUAGGUGUUGAUAGAAAUAUUCAACUUAUUACGGAUCCUCUUGAAUCUAUUGCCGGUGAUGAUAUACGCUUUAAACAUAUUAAAUUAGUUUUGUUUAAUGCCAAAUGCACUAAAACUGCUGUUGCAAAUCCGGUUGAAUUUCUGGUUGCUGAAGAUGAAGAUAUGCUCUUACUAAAGGAAUUUAUUAAUAGCGAUACAAAUCCGGAUAGAUUAGGAAAAGUGAUGUGGCAAAUAAAUUCUGAUUUACGAAAAUGCUUGAAAUUUCCAAGAGUUCAAGGUAUUGUAUACUUGACGAGAUCGAAUCAAGAAAUCGAAAAUGAGACUGUUGUAAAGAAAGCCAUUGAUUUUAUUAAUACUGUUCAACAAAAGAAGAAUCCAUUUAGAGUUUCUCCACCUGUUCUUCCUCUUACAGGCGAAGAGAUUGAUGAACAGGAUAUACUCCAUGGAAAGUUUAUCAAAUUUCCAUCUUCAAAAAAUAUGUCGGGCUGCUUUAUAGCUACUUUAACCAGAGAGGCGGAAGAUAUUAAGGAAGCUGCCAAAGACAUCCUCGCCAGAGCUGCGGCAAAGGGGUUAUUUUCUAAGAAUAGUACUUCCGCUCCAAACGAAGAUAAUAGUCCACCAUCGAAACCGACCAAAAAAACUAAAAAGAAAACCAAAUCGGCCAAAAUCAAAAAACUUGAAAAUUCAAAACCGUCUUCGUCAACUGUACUACCCCCAGUUAGUUCUCCAAAUCUAGCUCAACGUUAUCGUUCAAAAGAUCAGUCGCAUGAAUCCUUAUUAAAGCAUGACAUCACUUCCAAGUCACGUGAUACUCAUUUAAACAGAGAUGUUAGUCAUAAGACUUUUUCGUCACCCGUUACUGCUCACUUGUACGAUUUAGAAAUAGAGACCUCGAUAGCUAAAGAAAAAGCUACAAAGUUGCCGAGGUCUAGAACGGAAAAUCGACUUUAUCGAAGGCUACCUAACGAUAAUGAAACGUCGAUAAAUUCCGUUACACAAAAUUCCAAUUCUUCUCCGCAACGAUUAUUCAAUCAGAGAACUGACGAGAACGGAGGGGAAAAUUUCCUAGAAAUGUCUAAUGCAAGCGAUCAGUUAGGAAUGGCAAGAUCCAAAUCGGAGAGCAGAAUAUUACAAAGAGCGAAUACAAGCGAGUCUCUAGACGCUUAUUAUAAAACGAAAUCAACAAAAUUGUCAAGGUUUUCUAGACCAAAAUCGAAAGUGAGAUUAUCUAAAAAGGUAUGGGAAAGAUUAACAAGCGCUACUAACGCUAAUUCAGCUUCUAAUGACGUCUUACGACGAAAUCCUAUUCAACAUCCAAAGCCUUUCAGAUGAUUAAUCUAAUUAAAAAAAAUUGAACUUGAUUCUCCUCAUCGUUGCGUAAAACUUUAACCAUCUCACUUGAUUAAUUCUCUGUUCAUUUUUACAUUAAUUUUCUAUUAAUAUUUUACUUUCUUGCCUUAUUUUUUUUCAUUUGAUUUUUGAUGUGAUACUUCAGCUUCUUUUAUUUAAUUAGAGUUUGAUGAAAUCUAUUGAUAUUUCGUUAUUGUUUUCCUUCUUUUUCCCCUAAAAAAGAUAAUGAAUUCAAGAGCAAAGAUAUCAGAAGAAAAGACAACUGAAUAGAAUUAGAAGAAGGAGUGGCAUUUGAAUUGAAAACGUUUUUCCCAUUUUCUACUGUAAUUAUUAAUGUUUAGCUUUCCUAUUUUGUUAUUGAAAGAAGAUUUUGUCUGUCUCUCUUGAAAGAAAGACAAAUGAAAAGAAAUAGAACGAAAAGAUGACUGACGGACAAAGAGACAGGUAGAAAAACAGACAGACAACCGGUACUUUUUUUAUAUUUAUGCAAGUGGGAGGGAGAGAGAAAGAGAUAUAUGGAUAGAUAUAUAGACAGAUAGCUAGAUAGAUAGAGGCAAAGAGAGAGAGAGAGAGAGAGACAAAGACAGACCUUAAUUAUGUUUAACUAUAAUAAAUUCGUAUCACUUUACACACGACUUAUGCAAUUUAUGAUAUUAAAUUAUCAUAUUAGAAAUUGCUUGUUUCAAAUGAAACAAACAAUGUAGGAAAUAUAGGAGUAUUAAUUUGCUAUACAAUAUGAAAGAGAAGAGAAAAGAUUAUUCAUACACGGUCAGGUAUAUUAUAUUUAUUAUGAACGAAACAAAAAGCAUAAACAAACUCCAAGUACAAAACAUUUUCAUGAUAUACAUUAAUUUACUUAAUAAAAAUUUCAAUGAUUUACAUUAAUAAUAAGUGCUAACUCUUACAAAUAUAUUACUGUAUAAGUAUUCACAACAUUCAAUCCUUUUUCACCUGCCUAGCUAUUUUUAUAUUUUAAACUUGUACACCCUCUCUUUUUCUUCUUGUUUGUUUUAUCGUAUAGGGUAGCAUUCUCAAUUACUAACACUACUAUAGGCGGGUGGACUCGAGUUCAUAUAGAAUUGAACCGUUUCGUAACUAGGCGGCUUUAUAACGUCCAGUGUUACUCGGGGGCAAGUUUGAGAUACGGUAGGUAUUUCUCUUCCAUCUUCCGAAUGGUACUCGGGGGGUUCACUAUCGGAAUUUUGCCUUUCGGAAACUUCGGCUUCAAUCUCGGGUUCCGGAUGGGAAAGUCUCCCUAUUUUCAACAUAAUAAUAAAUUUCUUGAGACGACUUCUAGUGUAAACUUUCUUUGAUACUGAACAAACGACAAUGAGCCCAAAGACAACAAGAGUUCCAACAGAUACUGGAAUAAUAAAGGUCAAAAGCUGAUUUUGUUGUUGAUCAUCGUGAGAGAAGCAGCUGAUCUUCUUGGUAGACGCUCUAAAUGUUUGAUUUUUAGUGGAGAAGACGCACUCAAAAUAGUCGGUUUUAUGUAAUUCAGAGCAUUUAUAUUUCCUUUCAACGAAACCAGUAGAAUUACGAAUUUCUAUAUAAGGCAUACGAUAGGAUCUCUUUAGAUAUUUUUUAAAGCGAUUUUGAAAAGAAUAUCUAAAAAAUGUAAAAUUAACUACAGCGUAUCGAGAACAUCCUUUAACCAUACAGCUUAUCAAUGUUGAAUCGGAUUUGUCUUUUGUUGAUUUUAUCUCAAAUGUCGACUUAUCAACUUUAUUAUAUUUCGUUAUGGCGUUUAAUUUUAUAGACGUUGAAUAAUCUUGACCGUUAAAAUUACAUUUUCCGUAGAAACUAUCAGUCGAUUUCCUAUUUAAUAGUUGAUAUCCGACAAUCAUAUAAUUCAUAUCGCAGUUGCAUAAUAACCUGUUUUUAUUUAAAUUUAUGUUAAUCAAUCCGCUCUGAUUUCUGCGCAAUAGUUCUGUUACAUGAGACGAUUGAGCCAUGUUUGAUAGUUCAUUAUUUGAUAAAUCGAGAGUUUCCAAAUGAGUCAACGUUCUGGGGACACUAAAGGUGGUAAUUGCAUUGUAAGAGAGGUUUAAACUCUUUAAAUUAUUUCCAGAAAUGUUGGGUAUAGACUGGAAUUUAUUAAAACUUAAAUCAAGCUUUUCUAUACUGGAAAAAUUCAUUUCCAAAUUUUCUAAUCCGCAAAAUCUACAAGAUAAUUCCUUCAGUUUCUUUCUUUGAGGAAGAUUAAUAGAAGUUAGAGAAAUCCUUUUCGAUUUGCUUCGAAUAGCCAGACUUUUCAACUGAUUCAAAUCUUCAGAAAUUGAAAAUGAUUGACAAUUUACAUUCAAGUAGACAGUUUUUAAAGUUUCUUUACAAAAGUUGAAUUUAAAUUCGCAAAGAUUAACCCUUGCAUUUAGAUAGAAGCUUUCCAACUUCAUAUUGUCGCAUAGAUCUUGUGAUGAGUCUAGACUCAAGCUAAUAUAAGAUGAAAAGAUAAUAAUGGUCAAGUGAUUUAGACUUAUGUUUUUCAAGCUUUCCAAGAAAGCUGAAUAAGAGACAAAAGCUUUACGUUUAUAUAUUUCCAGAUUAUGAACUUUUCCUUUAAACGAUGAAGAAAAGGUUUCUAUUGAACUCUUAAUCUUUAAAUUCCUUAUAGACUGAUUGAAAUCAGGUUUAAAAAUUAUUUUUUUAACAUUUUCACAAUUGAUUUUUAAAGUUGUGAAAUGACUCCAACUGUUUGAGAGCGAUAUAAUUCGAAGGAUGGUGGCCGAAUCUUUACAAUUCACGUGAUCUUCAUUACCCCUCUGCUUGUUGUCAAACUCUCUAUAAAAAUUCGUCAAUUCAUAACAAGAAGUCAUGUAAUAAUCCAUAAAUAAAAAUAACGAAAUAAUCAGGCAUCUUCCAAAAAUCAUAACAAACAAUAAGGUAUUUCUUCUCUUUUCCCUAUUUUUCUACCUUCUUAUUUAAAACAUUUCUCACUUCGACGUAAAAGAGACUGUUUUAGUAUUACUCUCUUCAUCUGCAAAUGAAUCAAUCCCAGUUUGCAUCACACAUGCAUUCAUGUUU
rnacentral:misc_RNA from 1 species